CAGCAGCCGCGGUAAUACGUAGGUGGCAAGCGUUGUCCGGAAUUACUGGGCGUAAAGGGCUCGCAGGCGGUUUCUUAAGUCUGAUGUGAAAGCCCCCGGCUCAACCGGGGAGGGUCAUUGGAAACUGGGAAACUUGAGUGCAGAAGAGGAGAGUGGAAUUCCACGUGUAGCGGUGAAAUGCGUAGAGAUGUGGAGGAACACCAGUGGCGAAGGCGACUCUCUGGUCUGUAACUGACGCUGAGGAGCGUAAGCGUGGGGAGCGAACAGGAUUAGAUACCCCCGUAGUCCAUGUCUCUUAUAA
rnacentral:rRNA from 1 species